rnacentral:rRNA from 1 species
AUUGAACGCUGGCGGCAUGCCUUACACAUGCAAGUCGAACGGUAACAGGUCUUCGGAUGCUGACGAGUGGCGAACGGGUGAGUAAUACAUCGGAACGUGCCCGAGAGUGGGGGAUAACGAGGCGAAAGCUUUGCUAAUACCCCAUACGAUCUCAGGAUGAAAGCAGGGGACCGCAAGGCCUUGCGCCCACGGAGCGGCCGAUGGCAGAUUAGGUAGUUGGUGGGAUAAAAGCUUACCAAGCCGACGAUCUGUAGCUGGUCUGAGAGGACGACCAGCCACACUGGGACUGAGACACGGCCCAGACUCCUACGGGAGGCAGCAGUGGGGAAUUUUGGACAAUGGGCGCAAGCCUGAUCCAGCCAUGCCGCGUGCAGGAUGAAGGCCUUCGGGUUGUAAACUGCUUUUGUACGGAACGAAAAGACUCUGGUUAAUACCUGGGGUCCAUGACGGUACCGUAAGAAUAAGCACCGGCUAACUACGUGCCAGCCGCCGCCGUAAUAC